UACGUAGGUGGCAAGCGUUAUCCGGAUUUAUUGGGCGUAAAGGGAACGCAGGCAGUCUUUUAAGUCUGAUGUGAAAGCCUUCGGCUUAACCGGAGUAGUGCAUUGGAAACUGGGAGACUUGAGUGCAGAAGAGGAGAGUGGAACUCCAUGUGUAGCGGUGAAAUGCGUAGAUAUAUGGAAGAACACCAGUGGCGAAAGCGGCACUCUGGUCUGUAACUGACGCUGAGGUUCGAAAGCGUGGGUAGCAAACAGG
rnacentral:rRNA from 1 species